rnacentral:misc_RNA from 1 species
UACACAACAUUCACCAGAGC